UGGGGAAUAUUGGACAAUGGGCGCAAGCCUGAUCCAGCCAUGCCGCGUGAGUGAUGAAGGCCCUAGGGUUGUAAAGCUCUUUCACCGGUGAAGAUAAUGACGGUAACCGGAGAAGAAGCCCCGGCUAACUUCGUGCCAGCUGCCGCGGUAAUACGAAGGGGGCUAGCGUUGUUCGGAUUUACUGGGCGUAAAGCGCACGUAGGCGGACUAUUAAGUCAGGGGUGAAAUCCCGGGGCUCAACCCCGGAACUGCCUUUGAUACUGGUAGUCUUGAGUUCGAGAGAGGUGAGUGGAAUUCCGAGUGUAGAGGUGAAAUUCGUAGAUAUUCGGAGGAACACCAGUGGCGAAGGCGGCUCACUGGCUCGAUACUGACGCUGAGGUGCGAAAGAGUGGGGAGCAAACAGG
rnacentral:rRNA from 1 species